AACGAACGCUGGCGGCAUGCCUAACACAUGCAAGUCGAACGAGACCUUCGGGUCUAGUGGCGCACGGGUGCGUAACGCGUGGGAAUCUGCCCUUGGGUACGGAAUAACAGUUAGAAAUGACUGCUAAUACCGUAUAAUGACUUCGGUCCAAAGAUUUAUCGCCCAGGGAUGAGCCCGCGUAGGAUUAGCUUGUUGGUGAGGUAAAGGCUCACCAAGGCGACGAUCCUUAGCGGUCUGAGAGGAUGAUCAGCCACACUGGGACUGAGACACGGCCCAGACUCCUAC
rnacentral:rRNA from 1 species